rnacentral:rRNA from 1 species
AGAGAGAGACAUGCGCGCAUAUCAAUAAGCGGAGGAAAAGAAACUAACUAAGGAUUCCCUCAGUAACGGCGAGUGAAGCGGGAAGAGCUCAAAUUUGAAAUCUUCAAGGUUUUACCUUGACGAAUUGUAGUUUAUAGAAGUGUUUUCUGUUAGUGGAGUUGGUAAAAGUUCUUUGGAAUAGGACAUCAUAGAGGGUGAGAAUCCCGUAUUUGGUCAUUCCUCCUAGCGUUGUGAUACACUUUCAACGAGUCGGAUUGUUUGGGAAUGCAGUCCAAAAUGGGUGGUAAAUUUCAUCUAAAGCUAAAAUAUUGGCGAGAGACCGAUAGCGAACAAGUACCGUGAGGGAAAGAUGAAAAGAACUUUGAAAAGAGAGUUAAACAGUACGUGAAAUUGUCAAAAGGGAAGCGUUUGACACCAGUGUUGUUUUUCCGAAAAUCAAUUACGAAUGUUUUGUUUUUGAGGAGUUAUGACUUCAUCGGCUUGCUCCUUUCUUUACGAAACUUUCUUAAUGCACUUUUCGGUUAACAAGUCAACAUCAAUUUCUUUUGUUGUAAAAGGGUAUGAGGAAGGUGGCUUUCUUUUCGGAGAAAGUGUUUAUAGCCUUGUGCCUCUGCAAUCGGAGAGAUUGAGGUCUGCAGCGUAGAUCCUUCGGGGUUAGAUACAUUUGUGCUAAGUUAUAGCUUUUCAUAGACAACUUGUUGACUAUGUUUAGUCUUGUAGCUUACUCGCUUAUGCUAUUUUACCUACGCUUAGGAUGUUGAUAGUCACAGCGUGUAC